AGAGUGUCAAACAUGAAAGUCUGGGCAAGGGAAUUGCUGAAACAGGCCAGGAACUCAGGUCUGCACCUGUCCAUUACCCCUUUGAUUGAGAUCGAACACGUCUGCAUGCGCAAUUGUGAAUGCGGUAUCUCCUCUUUAUAGACAACUGAAAGGAGAAGAUAUCCAAGGAUUAACUCUGAAGGAGCUAGUGCAGCUAGAAAAAACACUUGAAAGAGGGCUAUGCCGUGUGCUUGAAAAAAAGGUACGUGGCAUGCUAUUUCAAACCCAUUUCAAACCAAUUUCAAACCAAUUUCAAGAAUGUCUUAAUAGGGAUGAUUUUUUUCUGAAAAAAACUUCUUGUUUGCUCACAGGGUCAGAAAAUCAUGGAAGAAAUAAGCGGACUACAGCAGAAGGUCAGAAAUUGAUUACACCUCUGUUUAAUAUAAAACGAGUUUCGCUGCAAGAAUACCCAUCAACUUGUAAAACGGAUUACAUCUUGGCUUGAAUCUGAAUAAGAGUCCAUUCGAUUUUUUUUGCUGGUUUGACCGCAGUAAAAGCCUUAUUUAAUCUUUGAAUGAUUGAAAGUUGAAAUCGUGGAGAUGUUAGGCACAAAUUAGCAAGUCUAGCAUGAUCAAUGGAAAGAUAUCAUAACAGAAAGCGACUUCAAUCAAUCAGGUUUUUGUUUUUUUAUUCGCCCUCUCGAGUUUCCCCUCCUAGAUGGAAAAAAAAUUUCCUGUAUAAUAGAUCGAAAAGAUAUAUAUAUAUAUAUAUAGAUAUAUUGAGAUGUAGGAAGUUAGAUUUAUAUUGUAAUUUGUGGCAUUUUAGUAAUUAUCAUCAUAGUUAUCCAUAAAAAUUUACUGCCUUUUAAAGUUAGAAUUUAGAAUCAUUGACCUCAAUCCGUAAGAUUUAUGUGUGUACACUAAGUCUAAGGCUCCUAUAUCUCUGAAAACCAUCAUGAAUAAGGUAUACAUAAAACACUGCGGCUAAAAUCCUCUCUGACAACAAAAUGAAGAUUCAUUUCUACUUCCAUACUGAUUUUUCUGUUCUUGUGUGUCUAGGGGGCGAAACUAAUGGAAGAGAACGCAUUGCUGAAGCAGCAAGUAGGACCCUUUGACAAUAACCUUCCUAUAUACAUCUCCCUUUAUGAAAAAAAAAGAACUCAUUUACUGUUUGAUGAAUAUAUAGGUUAUGGAAAUGACAAAAGGCAAGAAACAGGUUGUAUUGCCAGAGUCUGUCAGCAAUUUUCAUGAUGACAGACAAUCUUCUGGCUCGAUCACUAGUGCCUCAAACUCAGGAGAUACUCAGGACUGUGAUGACAGCUCUGACACUUGUCUUAAGUUAGGGUAAGCUCACAAAACGACCCACUGCGAAAAAUAUGUUUCAGAUAAGUUUUUUCUCAUACGUCUUCAUAUCCAUGGCUAAAAACAAUGUUUUGAUUUUUUUUUCUUGUACAUUUACAUAUUUUGAUAAGAAACCAUAAAUUUGAUGCAAAUGAGUAUUCUUAAUACGUCCCUAAGCUAAGUAUAUUGUUAUUCUUGAACUACGGCCUAGUUGAUUUCCAGACAGGAGAGUUUAGUAAACAUAAGUUUGAAAUGUAUAGAAUCGCACAAUGCUAGGAUAAGACAAUAAUAAGAAAAGGAGUCGGAUUAGAAUCACCAGCUAACGUAGACAUUAAAAAUCAUAAUGGAUUUUUUGGUCUUUUAUUUCUGCCACAGUAGAAGAGGAACGGAAGAACAUCCAUUAACAUUUAAUUGGACCCUAUUUGAGCAAAGUUCGUGUUCUCAAAAAGAUGCCAUUCAUUGUCCUUUCUCAACCAGUUGAGUUUUCCUGGAAAAAAAACAUUAACAUAAAAUAAUACAGAUAGCUAUGAAAUUCUCGACUGUAUUGAUGAAUUCAUUUGACAUGAUUUUGAGACUGCGUGAGAGCCUUCAUAUUCUAAAGGUUUUAAAUAUGAUAAUAAUUUUUUUAAAAUUCCAGACGAAAGACCUCAAAAGUAUUUGUAAGGAAUUAAAUUGUAUUUUCCCAUUUUAUAUAAAGAAAUGCAUUUACGUAUAUCGGUAAUGCCAUCUCGAGGUGCUGAACAAAGAGAUCGAAUCUCAUCAUAUAGUAUCCUAGGUAAGGUACAUGUGAAUGCAUUCUCUGAGCUGCCCCACAGGGUAUGCAUAUUUAUGAUCUUAUGGAAAUAUACAAAAUUACAGCUUUAUGAUUUGGAAUUAAUGGAUGUUUAGUCUGCAAAUUGCUGGCAGCCCUCAUCGUUUUGGGUUUCAUAGUGGUUGACUAUUGCAGUUGUGAUCUCUAUUUCAGUACAGUAGUUUUGCACGGUUGCAUGCUGUUCCCUUGAUUCUGUGUAUCGUCAGAUAUGAGAAGAAAAAUUAUAAGAGAGCAAGAAAAAAAAACUGAAGAAUAAGUUAGAAAAAACAAAAGGAAACAGCAUAUUUUUCUUCUCUAUUGAGGCAUUUUUUUCUUUGGUUCCCCUAAAAAACAUGGAAUGAUUCCCGGUUUCGUCUCCUCGAUGACACAGGCAUGAGUGAUCUGUUCAUUCCCGGCAGCCAAUAUGAUUUGGGACUAACAUGAGUCUGUCUCUCCCCUGGUUUUCUCCUUCUUUGCAGGCUUCCAUUCAACUAGAAGCGAGGAACCUCAAGAAACUACAUGUCCAAAGCUUCCUCACCUGUUCGUAUUGCCCUGUUCGGAGCGAGAUUUCAUGGCAUUGGUUCAAAUUAUUUAUACUUGUGUCCUGCAUGUGGGGAGGCAAACUCCAUCUCUCCCAUGCUGCUACCCUUGGUGACGCCACCGAUUCAAGAGGUCGCGGUAUUUCCCUGCGUUAUGAACGAGAAAAACAGGAACGAAAAAUUCAUCCAUGACGACAAACAUUGCAGGUUUCCAGACCCCCAGAACAUCUGGGGAACCGGUAUUCGUUAGGUUUUUCUUCCGUGAACACCAGUACCUUGCGGCAGUCGGCGGCAAUUGGCAUCCAGCUCAUGGGGAUGGGUUGGGGGGAGGGUGAGGGAAGCCGGGCCCCCACAGGGAUUCCCCCCAUCUCGGUCGUCUACACGUCUCGGUGGAGGUCGGAAGAGGGCCCAAGGCAUACUCUUGUGGAGCGUGCCAGCUUGCCCCUCUGCCCAGGCUUUACUUUCCAUUUCAGUCCAUCCCCUGCUUCUGCUGCGAUCUGGGCCGUCCUGCUCCUCUGUUCAUCUGGGCACGCAGAGGGGGGGCGGGCAUUCAAUGCUGGUCUCUUCGUCGUUAUCAGAGGACAACCUUCGAGGGCCCAGCAUCCCCUUACAGAGGAGCAAGCUGUUCGCGUAAAUGCCCCAAGCCUCAUAUUCCUGGCAGUCAAGGGACAGGAGCAGGAGCAGGAGGGGGGGGGGGUUCUAAUCUUUUAUAAAGGGAGGGGAGAUUCUUUACUAAAAAAAGGGAGCUUUUCUUUCUUCAUCUUUGCCACACACAAGGGAC
rnacentral:lncRNA from 1 species